GGGCGUGUGGCUCAGUUGGUAGAGCGUUCGCUUAGCAUCUCAUCAUCCCCUCAAAGAUGACUCCGUAUGCGAAAGGUCCUGGGUUCGAUUCCCAGCCCGUCCA